GCAGUAUAAGGGGGGUACAGAAUAAAGAAGGGAAGGUGGGGAAGGAUGUAGGCAACGUUGUUUACACGUAAAUUGUUUUCGUCUCGGAUAUGUACAGUAUAUGUUUCACAUUUCACAUCAUGUGUUCCACAUUUCAAAUGCUAGCGUAUACAAUAUUACCCAUUACACUUUAAACGGUCAUGUUUUCCCAAUCCGUAUUUGCUGCCUGUCUCUGAGUCGCAGGUGUGGUAUGGAGUACUGGUCGUA